rnacentral:rRNA from 1 species
UACCCGCAGCUCAAGUGGUGGUCAUUAUUAUUGGGCCUAAAGCGUCCGUAGCUGGCUUGUUAGAUGCCUGGGUAAAUCGAUGCGCUCAACGCAUCGAACUCCGGGUAGACCGGCAAGCUUGGGACCGGGAGAGGCGUGAGCUACUCGAGGGGUAGGGGUAAAAUCCUGUAAUCCUUCGGGGAGGACCAGUGGCGAAGGCGUCACGCUAGAACGGCUCCGACAGUGAGGGACGAAGCCCUGGGGCGCAAACCGG